ACAAACGGAUCAAAUUAAAAUUAAUAAUAGUAAAAAAGGAGGUUAGAGAAUUAUUUGAAAAAUAAUGCUUUUUAUGAAGGUGGAAUUUAUAUUAAAAGAGGUAAUUUAAGUUUUUCUUUUUUUGAGCCCUCGAAAUUUUGUUAUAAAACCGGGAUUAGAUACCCCGUUAUUCAAAAUGUAAACUUUAAUUAUAGACAAUUUACUUGAGUAUUACGAGAGUAUAGUAAGAUAUUAUAUAUUGCUUAAAACUCAAAAAACUUGGCGGUGCCUUAUAUCCUUCCAGGGGAACCUGUCCUAUAAUCGAUAGUCCACGUUUUAGCUUACUUUCUUUUGAAUUUUAGUCAGCUUGUAUACCGUCGUCGUCGGGUUACCUUUAAGGGUUAUGGAGUUAUCAGUGAGAGAAAAAUAAAUUUAUAUCAUAUAAAUAAAAAUUUUUGUGUCUAGACGUCAGAUCAAGGUGCAGCUUAUAAGGAAGAAGAGAUGGGUUACAAUAAUGAUUUAUUAUACGAAUUUUUGUUGUAAUAAGCAGAAUUGAAGGAGGACUUGGAAGUAAUUAAUUUAAAGAUAAGAGA
rnacentral:rRNA from 1 species